rfam:Gorilla gorilla gorilla genomic chromosome, chr12, whole genome shotgun sequence
GCCGGGCGUGGUGGUGCGUGCCUGUAAUCCCAGCUACUCGGGAGGCUGAGGCAGGAGAAUCGCUUGAACCCAGGAGGCGGAGGUUGCAGUGAGCCAAAAUCGCACCACUGCCCUCUAGCCUGGGUGAAAGGGUGAGACUCUGUCUCAA